rnacentral:rRNA from 1 species
UACGGAGGGAGCUAGCGUUGUUCGGAAUUACUGGGCGUAAAGCGCACGUAGGCGGCUUUGUAAGUUAGAGGUGAAAGCCCCGGAGCUCAACUCCGGAAUUGCCUUUAAGACUGCAUCGCUCGAAUCCAGGAGAGGUGAGUGGAAUUCCGAGUGUAGAGGUGAAAUUCGUAGAUAUUCGGAAGAACACCAGUGGCGAAGGCGGCUCACUGGACUGGUAUUGACGCUGAGGUGCGAAAGCGUGGGGAGCAAACAGG